CUGGAAAGGCCCGCCAAAGACGGUAACAGCCCGGUAGUUGAAAUGGCUUUCCCUCCAGAGUGGAUCCUGAGUACGGCGGAACACGUGAAAUUCCGUCGGAAUCCGGGAGGACCAUCUCCCAAGGCUAAAUACUCCCUAGUGACCGAUAGUGAACCAGUACCGUGAGGGAAAGGUGAAAAGCACCCCGGAAGGGGAGUGAAACAGUUCCUGAAACCGUGUGCCUACAAGUAGUUAGAGCCCGUUAAUGGGUGAUAGCGUGCCUUUUGUAGAAUGAACCGGCGAGUUACGAUUUGUUGCAAGGUUAAGCGGAAAAAGCGGAGCCGUAGCGAAAGCGAGUCUGAAUAGGGCGCAUAAGUAACAGGUCGUAGACCCGAAACCAGGUGAUCUACCCAUGUCCAGGAUGAAGGUAAGGUAAUACUUACUGGAGGUCCGAACCCACGCACGUUGAAAAGUGCGGGGAUGAGGUGUGGGUAGCGGAGAAAUUCCAAUCGAACUUGGAGAUAGCUGGUUCUCUCCGAAAUAGCUUUAGGGCUAGCCUCGAGGUAAAGAGUCAUGGAGGUAGAGCACUGUUUGGACUAGGGGCCCUUCUCGGGUUACCGAAUUCAGAUAAACUCCGAAUGCCAUGUACUUAUACUCGGGAGUCAGACUGCGAGUGAUAAGAUCCGUAGUCGAAAGGGAAACAGCCCAGACCACCAGUUAAGGUCCCCAAAUAUAUGUUAAGUGGAAAAGGAUGUGGGGUUGCUUAGACAACCAGGAUGUUGGCUUAGAAGCAGCCACCAUUGAAAGAGUGCGUAAUAGCUCACUGGUCGAGUGACCCCGCGCCGAAAAUGUACCGGGGCUAAACAUAUUA
rnacentral:rRNA from 1 species